rnacentral:tRNA from 1 species
CCCCUUUUGAUUCCAUUCCUAAAUAAGGAACUAGCCAAUAUGACUUAGUACAUCUAUAUGUUACUGCA